rnacentral:misc_RNA from 1 species
ACGCGGCAUUUCUUUUUGGAGCCGGCGUAAAGCAAUUCAAAUCGUUGCGGCAGCGACAUGCGAGGCGCGACCUCGAUACAUGCCCCGCCCGCUGAAUAGUCCACGACAUUGCAGCCGAUCACCGGAGAUUUCGGAUCGACGAUGAUCUUGGCCGAUCGGGAAAGACUUCCCGACGGCUUGACGCGGUUAAAGCGGCGCUCUUGAGGCA